rnacentral:rRNA from 1 species
CAGCAGUAGCCGCGGGAAUACGGAGGAUCCAAGCGUUAUCCGGAAUCAUUGGGUUUAAAGGGUCCGUAGGCGGUCUUGUAAGUCAGUGGUGAAAGCCCAUCGCUCAACGGUGGAACGGCCAUUGAUACUGCAGGACUUGAAUUAUUGGGAAGUAACUAGAAUAUGUAGUGUAGCGGUGAAAUGCUUAGAGAUUACAUGGAAUACCAAUUGCGAAGGCAGGUUACUACCAAUUGAUUGACGCUGAUGGACGAAAGCGUGGGUAGCGAACAGGAUUAGAUACCCCCGUAGUCCCUGUCUCUUAUAC